rnacentral:lncRNA from 1 species
UGUAGACUACUACAUGUUUUCUUACAGGGGCAAUGGGUUUGCCCUACCACAGACAGGGUUUUGGUAAAAAUUGGUGGAACAUGUUCCCACUUGAAUCUCCUUAUAAACUGUGUGACUUGUGCUACCAUGGAGUGGAAACAGAGCAUGGGCACCUGAUGUAAAACCAGACGUGCAAGGAGCCCACCCUGUUCAUUCCUACGGAUUUUCAGUUUUCCAGUCGCAAUUGGCCCAGCAAUAUACAUGGGACUGCCUCCACUUGUGUUUACAAAGCAAAGGUACAGCUUUUCUUAGAAGAGCCAGAGCUGAACUAGUCUAUGGAAUUUCAGAAUCUGCAUUAAAAGUCCCAUUGGAAAAGGCUAAAGUAAAAUUCUGCUUGGCUUUUAGUGGCUGAAAGUGUGUUAUAAAAAGCCCAGACUGGAAGAGAAAAAUUUAUGAUUUCUAUUGCUAGAGCUGUUAGAAAAAUCAAACCAUGAACUGUGAGAAGUCACAUGGACGGGCACCUGCAACCAGUUUUUGAGAUGAUAAAAGAAAACUUUAGACACUUUGACAGCUCUUCUGUGGGUAUAAUUUUUUUUCAGUUUCUUUUUUUUUUAUAAAACCACUUAGAAGCUGAAAAAGUGGAAACCUUGUACUCCACCUACUUAUGGGAAAAAAAGAAGAGAGAUUGAGACUUGCUGGUUCUAAAGUAUUAACAGACAUUGUGAUUGGAGUUACUCAAUUCAGUAACUAGCAGAAAUGGUUCUGCAUGAUAAAUAAGUUAUAAUUAUUGUAUGUGCUUUAUAGUCAAAAUAGUUUUGCUAAUCUUUGUUCUGAUGGGCCUAAUAUAUUUUACUUUCUAAGAAGUGCUAAUUUCAUGCAUUCAUAAUGAAUUCUCAAUUUACAUUGAAAAGCAAGUUGAAACAAAAAAAAAAGCUAUAAACUGAAUUGGCUGUUAAAUAAGUGUUUAUUUAUCGUUUUAACAUAACAGAAUGGAAAACUUGAAAUAUAAAAAAAUGGAAGUUAAGCUUUGUAAUGGUGCUAAGUAUGAAAAUAGUCUGUACUACUGCAGAGCAAAAUUUAGUGUAAAGAUUAAAUAAAUUGUGAGUUAACAGACCA